rnacentral:rRNA from 1 species
UACGUAGGGUGCGAGCGUUAAUCGGAAUUACUGGGCGUAAAGUGUGCGCAGGCGGCCGCGCAAGUCGAGUGUGAAAUCCCCGAGCUUAACUUGGGAAUUGCGCUCGAAACUACGUGGCUGGAGUGUGGCAGAGGAAGGUGGAAUUCCACGUGUAGCGGUGAAAUGCGUAGAGAUGUGGAGGAACACCAGUGGCGAAGGCGGUUGCCUGGAGCUUUGCUGACGCUGAGGCGCGAAAGCGUGGGGAGCGAUCCGG